rnacentral:pre_miRNA from 1 species
GUACGUUUGUGUGUGAAUAGUGUUCCGCACCAAGGACAGGCACGUUUGUGUGUGAAUAGUGUUCAGCACCAAGGACAGGUACGUUUGUGU